rnacentral:rRNA from 1 species
CCCUACGGGGUGCAGCAGGGCGGAAGAGAGUCCGGUUUGGAUCCAAAGGUCGCGCUGGCCAUGAUCGGCCAGGUGAAGAACCGGGGUCUGCCGCUGUCCGCCAUCGCGGAUGAGUUGGCGGCCGAGGUGGCCCAAUGCUAUGCGGACGAGCUGAAGACCCUGAACGCGGUCGAUUUCGAUGAUCUGCUCGGGCUUACGGUGACCCUGCUGGAGCGGAAUCCCGAUGUGCGGGCCUAUUGGCAGCACCGAUACCGCUACAUCAUGGUGGAUGAGUUUCAGGAUACCAACAGCUUGCAGAUGGCCGUUCUGAAAAACCUGGCUGGAUCGCAGCAAAACGUGGGUGUGGUGGGAGACGACGAUCAGAGCAUUUACGGCUGGCGGGGGGGC